GAAGUGCUCACAAAAGUGCAUCUGCAGUCUCACAGUGUGUAUGCCGGGACAUGGGAGCAGUCCCUUCCUGACCCUGCAGGAGCUCUUCCUGCCUGUGAUUUGGGAGCCUGCUUCCAGGGUCUUCCUCAUCAGCCUGGUGACAAACUGGACAAUAUCUGAGGUUGUGUCUGCAUGGCAGGGCUGCAGUUUAGGAACCGUCUGCAAUUACACAUACAUCCUAUACGUAUUGAUGUAUAUUAUAGCCACAUAAUUGAUCCCUGUGAUCAGGAGUCACUUCAGGAUCAUGGAAAAGCUGAUUGACAAGUUUCCUUCAUUUGAAAGAAGAGGAGGUUACGUCAGAUCUACACUGUUUUGUGAGCAGAUAGACACCAUCUGGGUCUCUGGACUAGACUAGGCCAUCAAGGUCACUAGAUUAGACCACCUCGGUCUCUGGACUAGACUAGGCCAUCCAGGUCUCUAGAAAAGGCUAGGCCAUCUAAAUUUCUAGACUAGACUAUCUAGGUCUGUAGGCUAGGCUAGGCCAUCCAGGUGUGUAGGCCACACUAGACCAUCCAGGUCUCUAGACUAGCCUAGGACAUCUAGGUCUAUGGACUAGACUGGGCCAUUUGCAUCUGUAGACUAGGCCAUCCAGGUCUCUAGACCAGACUAGGCCAUCUCAGUCUCUAGACUAUACUAUCUAGGUCUUUAGACUAGACUAGGACAUCUAGGUCUGUAGACUAGACUAGGCCAUCUAAAUCUCGAGACUAGACUAUCUGGGACUCUAGACUACACUAGACUAUCUAGAUCUCUAGGCUAGACUAGGCCAUCCCGGUCUGUCGACUAGACUCGGUCAUCCAGGUUGCUGUCUGUGGUGUUAUAUUGAGUAAAAGAAGAGUUCAGCCCUUCCGUACGCACGUAAUCCAGAGGAAUUGUUCUAAUGUACUUUCUUACAUAAGAGUUCUGUAUUUAUUCUCCCUGGAGAAUGAACUGUUCAGUCUCAGACUAGAGAUAAAUUCUGCUAGGGUUUUUUUAGGGUGUAUUUCUGGUCAGUGACUGACUCUCAGCUAACACCUGACUGCUUUAAGGAGGUUUAAAAGCCCUGUACAUGGAAUUAUACAAUAGUUUGAGUGGAGAGGAACCUUCAAGGUCAUCCAGUUCCAAGCCCUCUGCCUCGGGCUACGACACAUCCCACUAGAUCAGAAGAGACCAGAGUUUCUGGCCACCAUCAUGCUGAGACUAUUCAUGCCUGGAUCUCAUGCAGCCCAGAAAUGUUCCAUGCAUUCCAAUGAUCAGACUGUGCAUUAGGUUGGUGAAGAGACAGACUUGGGCCCUGCAGUUGAAUUGAGAUUACUGCAAAAAAAUCAAGGCCAGAGGUGUGUGAUGGAGUUCUGCACCAGAAUCUGAGCUUCCAGUGCUGCUGAUGUGUUUUAACUAUUAAAACUAUUUGCAUAAAUGCAGUUACUGUCCCUCUUUUCAUUGUUGGAAUCCAAAGUCACUCUUUUUGGAGGGAUUGGAAGCAUGGAAUUUGUUCAUCUUGCCUUUAAUGAAUAUCUGGAGUCAAGUGUUUCAGAAGAAGCUUCUUUACAUUGAAAUUUCCAGAGGUGUUCAAAACCCAAUGAAGAAAGAGCUGGAAAACCUGCUGCUGAACAGGGAGGUUGGACUAGAAGGUCUCAAGAGGUCCCUUCCAACAUAAAUGAUUCUGCUCUACCCUCCUCAGGAGUGCAGAAAUGUUGCUGUGCCAUGUCAGUAUCCUUCCAGCAGAAAGUUUUAGCAUUCUGGUAUAUUGAAAGCAAUACUUGAGACUCCAAUUUGUUCUCAGUUUGUCAGAAACCUCUCUGAAUCACGGAGGAAUGAAUCAGUAGAAGCCUCACUAAUGCCAGAUGUUGCCAUUAAAUCAUUUCCUACUCCUACUCCAUGUUUCCCAGAUUGGGCACCCGAGGUCCAGGUUAACCCAUGUAGAAGUCUGAGCACUUGUGAGAAAAUGCUUUGCAUUUCUGUCAUCAUGGGAAAAUGGUACCACUUUUGACAACUAGCAACAAUGAAAGAGAUGGGAAGAAUGAGGUUUUUCCUUUGAUAUAAUGGACCAAGCAUCUCUUUAGACAGAGCAGUUCCUGCCCAUUGUUGCCCAGACGAGCAAAUGAGCGUCUCAAAAAUCACCUGUGGACGUGGACAGAGCUGAAACUGAAUGAAUCCAGCCUGGUCUCUGGAGUGUGGGAUUCCUUGGGUUGUGUUUCUGCAAGCAGAAGAUGGUGACCAUCCUAAAACCUGAGAACCUAAUAGAACUAGAAAGUCCUUGAGAAAUCAAAAGCAUGGAAUAUCUUUCAUAUGGAUAGUGAUGUGAACUGGAUUACUUUUUUACAGCUAGGAAAAGAGUUGCUUGCAGCACUGAUGGGCACAAAUCCAGCUUGUCCUUGAGCUCCUGUUUGGAGUUGCUCAUCAGCUUUUGUGUGAUCUUGGUCAGUCUGAAAACAAGCAUUUAAAGUAGGAGGGCAAGCUUCAGCAAAGAGGUGCCAGCACCUGUGCUGCUCCCCAGGCCAUACUUUUAGGGGGAUUGGGAACCUUCAGGAUGCACGGGGUCUGCACCCAGUAGAAGGGCACACAGCGAGACAGAGCAAUGAUGCAGAGGAUAAAAGUCAACAAAAUAGGAAUAGUUCUUCUGCCUAUUCCUGUUUCAGUCCUCAGGCUGGCAGUGGUGAGAGCCCAUUUCUGCUGCCCAUCUCUGCUGUUUGCUGCUGUCCCCUGGCACAUCAGAAUCAAGAUCUUGAAAUUCCUCCCACACCUCAGAAACAUUUUUAGGUGAUGCUGCCUGCCCAGGAUUCAUUUCCAGCUUAAGAGAAAUGUGCAAGCAAACGCUGAAGUUUUGGCAACAGAUAUGGAGAGACUUACUAUGGUAGAAACUUCAGUCUGAUGUCAAUUUCUUGGAAAUGGGUGAAAUCAGCAGAGGAAUAUUUGAAGCAAUAUAAGGUUUGGAGGACUGCGUUCUUCUCUUGGUUCAUUCAUCGCUAUGAGCUGCAGUCUGAUUCACACAGUCUCAGGAUCUGACUCUGCCACUUCAUUAAGGUCACUUGUUCUCCUGAUACUCUGCACAGAAACAAAAGCAAAGGGAGAAGAAUACUCUUCCCGAGUUCCUAGGACAUCAUAAGCCACAACAUGCACCAGACAGUACCUGGGACAGUGGUUGACUCCUGUAGCUGCUUUGCUGCCCAGACCUGUUAUAUCUGUACUGAAAAUUGGACCUGUUACAUCUGUACUGAAAACUGGAGGCAGAAAUAUGCUAGAAAACAGCCAGGGAAGAGAGAAGACAGAGCAAUUGUUUCAGGAUUCUUCUCAACAAGCAGAAUCUUUCUUACAGGGCAAUCAGUUAAACCUUGGAGCCCCCCAGUAAGGCUGGGAGACAUGAUCAGAGAGCUGUGAGCUAUUUUCCCCCCUCUCCUUUUGCUGCCCAGCUGCAGAGCAGCGGAAUGUUGAGUCUUUCAUGCCAGGUCUGCAUCUGAAAGCUGCAGAGGUCUGAGUGCUGGGGGGCAAGCCUGUUGGUUUUGAUCAAUUCCACUUUCCCCUCCCUCAUGUGUGAAGACAAGAUUACAAUGAAGAUUCCCUGAAGUUAGAGGGCACUGUAGGCACCUCCCAAGAGGAACAGGAAAAGGAAAUAUGUUUUCAUACCGUACUUAAGUUGCUAUUAAUCUCAUUUAUUCAGAAGGUUCAACAGACAGCAGAUGCAUGUUACCUAAGCAGAGGACUUGAACAAUCAGAAAUCUCAGUGUCUAGCUGCUGGUUUAAGCUCAGUGCACUAUAUUAUAUUAUUUUGAAAGUACUCCUCAAACAACAGGAAUCUGAAACUUAUGGAAAUCUAUUUCAAGGCAGCACAAAUUUGAAGCAAUUAAGAAUUUAACAAUUAAACCUGGGACACUGUUCUCCAGUAAAGAGUGAAUCAUUUACAGACAAACUGCAAUGAAAUUGACCUAGUUUAUAUCAUGAAUCACUAUAAGUAUAUAAUUUUUUAAUGAGAAAUUUAGAAAUUGAACAAAGUCCAAGGAAAAAAUAAGGAAAUGGUCAAGUAC